rnacentral:tRNA from 1 species
GGGCAGUUAGCUCAGUUGGUAGAGCAUCGCCUUCACACGGCGGGGGUCGUAGGUUCAAGUCCUAUACUGCCCACCA